rnacentral:RNase_P_RNA from 1 species
AGAGUAGACCGGACGGCCGCCUCCUCGCGCCGGCGAGGGGGAGGAAAGUCCGAACUCCACAGGGCAGGACGGUCGCUAACAGCGACUCCGCGCGAGCGGAGGAAAGUGCCACAGAAAACAGACGGCCCAGGCCGGCCCGGGUCACGGUGAAAAGGUGGGGUAAGAGCCCACCGCCCCGGUGGUGACACUCGGGGGCACGGUAAACCCCGUCCGGAGCAAGACCAAGUAAGUUCCGUUUCCCCUUCGGGGACGAGGGUGGCCCGCCCAAGCCCGCACUGCGGGGACGGAACGGGUAGGUCGCUUGAACCGUGGGGCAACUCACGGUCCAGAUAAAUGGCCGUCCUCCCGCCUUGCGCGGGAGACAGAAUUCGGCUUACAGGUCUACUCUGGAU